AGAGUUUGAUCCUGGCUCAGGAUGAACGCUAGCGACAGGCUUAACACAUGCAAGUCGAGGGGCAGCACAGGUAGCAAUACCGGGUGGCGACCGGCGCACGGGUGAGUAACGCGUAUGCAACUUGCCUAUCAGAGGGGGAUAACCCGGCGAAAGUCGGACUAAUACCGCAUGAAGCAGGGGCCCCGCAUGGGGAUAUUUGCUAAAGAUUCAUCGCUGAUAGAUAGGCAUGCGUUCCAUUAGGCAGUUGGCGGGGUAACGGCCCACCAAACCGACGAUGGAUAGGGGUUCUGAGAGGAAGGUCCCCCACAUUGGUACUGAGACACGGACCAAACUCCUACGGGAGGCAGCAGUGAGGAAUAUUGGUCAAUGGCCGAGAGGCUGAACCAGCCAAGUCGCGUGAGGGAUGAAGGUUCUAUGGAUCGUAAACCUCUUUUAUAAGGGAAUAAAGUGCGGGACGUGUCCCGUUUUGUAUGUACCUUAUGAAUAAGGAUCGGCUAACUCCGUGCCAGCAGCCGCGGUAAUACGGAGGAUCCGAGCGUUAUCCGGAUUUAUUGGGUUUAAAGGGUGCGUAGGCGGCCUUUUAAGUCAGCGGUGAAAGUCUGUGGCUCAACCAUAGAAUUGCCGUUGAAACUGGGGGGCUUGAGUAUGUUUGAGGCAGGCGGAAUGCGUGGUGUAGCGGUGAAAUGCAUAGAUAUCACGCAGAACCCCGAUUGCGAAGGCAGCCUGCCAAGCCAUUACUGACGCUGAUGCACGAAAGCGUGGGGAUCAAACAGGAUUAGAUACCCUGGUAGUCCACGCAGUAAACGAUGAUCACUAGCUGUUUGCGAUACACUGUAAGCGGCACAGCGAAAGCGUUAAGUGAUCCACCUGGGGAGUACGCCGGCAACGGUGAAACUCAAAGGAAUUGACGGGGGCCCGCACAAGCGGAGGAACAUGUGGUUUAAUUCGAUGAUACGCGAGGAACCUUACCCGGGUUUGAACGCAUUCGGACCGAGGUGGAAACACCUUUUCUAGCAAUAGCCGUUUGCGAGGUGCUGCAUGGUUGUCGUCAGCUCGUGCCGUGAGGUGUCGGCUUAAGUGCCAUAACGAGCGCAACCCUUGCCACUAGUUACUAACAGGUAAAGCUGAGGACUCUGGUGGGACUGCCAGCGUAAGCUGCGAGGAAGGCGGGGAUGACGUCAAAUCAGCACGGCCCUUACAUCCGGGGCGACACACGUGUUACAAUGGCGUGGACAAAGGGAAGCCACCUGGCGACAGGGAGCGAAUCCCCAAACCACGUCUCAGUUCGGAUCGGAGUCUGCAACCCGACUCCGUGAAGCUGGAUUCGCUAGUAAUCGCGCAUCAGCCAUGGCGCGGUGAAUACGUUCCCGGGCCUUGUACACACCGCCCGUCAAGCCAUGGGAGCCGGGGGUACCUGAAGUCCGUAACCGCGAGGAUCGGCCUAGGGUAAAACUGGUGACUGGGGCUAAGUCGUAACAAGGUAGCCGUACCGGAAGGUGCGGCUG
rnacentral:rRNA from 2 species